rnacentral:lncRNA from 1 species
CAGAGAAGUGAAUCCUUUCCCUUAAAUCUCAGGGACUCUUACCCUUCCAACCCGCAGAGACACCGCCUGUUCACAAGAGUUUGAAGAAGUCCACUCUUUUCCUGGCCAGAGCUGGGUGUCAAGACUACCUUUCUGGAGUCCUUAGAGAGACUCCCGGAAGAGUAUCUGAAGUUUCCCAAAGCCUCCAGGCCCUGCCUUCUGCCUGCACAUUCUGCCCUGAUUUCCGGAACCUGGAAGCCUAGGCAGGCAGUGGGGAACUCUGACUCGCCUGUGCUCUGGAGCUUGAUCCGAAAGCUUCCACAGUGAGGACUGCUCCGUGGGGUCCUGCUCCGCUUCGCAGUGGAAUGGAACGGAUUUAGAAGCCUGCAGUAGGGGAGUGGGGAGUGGAGAGAGGGAGCCCAGAGUUACAGACGGCGGCGAGAGGAAGGAGGGGCGUCUUUAUUUUUUUAAGGCCCCAAAGAGUCUGAUGUUUACAAGACCAGAAAUGCCACGGCCGCGUCCUGGCAGAGAAAAGGCUGAAAUGGAGGACCGGCGCCUUCCUUAUAAGCUCGUUGGGGCCUAAGCCAGUACCGACCUGGUAGAAAAAGCAACCACGAAGCUAGAGAGAGAGCCAGAGGAGGGAAGAGAGCGCCAGACGAAGGUGAAAGCGAACCACGCAGAGAAAUGCAGGCAAGGGAGCAAGGCGGCAGUUCCCGGAACAAACGUGGCAGAGGGCAAGACGGGCACUCACAGACAGAGGUUUAUGUAUUUUUAUUUUUUAAAAUCUGAUUUGGUGUUCCAUGAGGAAAAGGGAAAAUCUAGGGAACGGGAGUACAGAGAGAAUAAUCCGGGUCCUAGCUCGCCACAUGAACGCCCAGAGAACGCUGGAAAAACCUGAGCGGGUGCCGGGGCAGCACCCGGCUCGGGUCAGCCACUGCCCCACACCGGGCCCACCAAGCCCCGCCCCUCGCGGCCACCGGGGCUUCCUUGCUCUUCUUAUCAUCUCCAUCUUUAUGAUGAGGCUUGUUAACAAGACCAGAGAGCUGGCCAAGCACCUCUAUCUCAGCCGCGCCCGCUCAGCCGAGCAGCGGUCGGUGGGGGGACUGGGAGGCGCUAAUUAAUUGAUUCCUUUGGACUGUAAAAUAUGGCGGCGUCUACACGGAACCCAUGGACUCAUAAACAAUAUAUCUGUUGGGC